AUUGAACGCUGGCGGCAUGCCUUACACAUGCAAGUCGAACGGCAGCACGGGAGCAAUCCUGGUGGCGAGUGGCGAACGGGUGAGUAAUACAUCGGAACGUGCCCAGUUGUGGGGGAUAGCCCGGCGAAAGCCGGAUUAAUACCGCAUACGACCUAUGGGUGAAAGCGGGGGAUCGCAAGACCUCGCGCAAUUGGAGCGGCCGAUGUCAGAUUAGGUAGUUGGUGGGGUAAAAGCCUACCAAGCCGACGAUCUGUAGCUGGUCUGAGAGGACGACCAGCCACACUGGGGACUGAGACACGGCCCCAGACUCCUACGGGAGGCAGCAGUGGGGAAUUUUGGACAAUGGGCGCAAGCCUGAUCCAGCCAUGCCGCGUGUGGGAAGAAGGCCUCGGGUUGUAAACCACUUUUGUCAGGGAAGAAACGGCCUAGGCUAACAUCUUGGGCUAAUGACGGUACCUGAAGAAUAAGCACCGGCUAACUACGUGCCAGCAGCCGCGGUAAUACGUAGGGUGCAAGCGUUAAUCGGAAUACUGGGCGUAAAGCGUGCGCAGGCGGGCUUUUGCAAGACAGAUGUGAAAUCCCCGGGCUCAACCUGGGAACUGCAUUUGUGACUGCAAGG
rnacentral:rRNA from 1 species